rnacentral:rRNA from 1 species
CCAGUGUGUUUCGACACACUAUCAUUAACUGAAUCCAUAGGUUAAUGAGGCGAACCGGGGGAACUGAAACAUCUAAGUACCCCGAGGAAAAGAAAUCAACCGAGAUUCCCCCAGUAGCGGCGAGCGAACGGGGAGCAGCCCAGAGCCUGAAUCAGUAUGUGUGUUAGUGGAAGCGUCUGGAAAGGCGCGCGAUACAGGGUGACAGCCCCGUACACAAAAAUGCACAUGCUGUGAGCUCGAUGAGUAGGGCGGGACACGUGGUAUCCUGUCUGAAUAUGGGGGGACCAUCCUCCAAGGCUAAAUACUCCUGACUGACCGAUAGUGAACCAGUACCGUGAGGGAAAGGCGAAAAGAACCCCGGCGAGGGGAGUGAAAAAGAACCUGAAACCGUGUACGUACAAGCAGUGGGAGCACGCUUAGGCGUGUGACUGCGUACCUUUUGUAUAAUGGGUCAGCGACUUAUAUUCUGUAGCAAGGUUAACCGAAUAGGGGAGCCGAAGGGAAACCGAGUCUUAACUGGGCGUUAAGUUGCAGGGUAUAGACCCGAAACCCGGUGAUCUAGCCAUGGGCAGGUUGAAGGUUGGGUAACACUAACUGGAGGACCGAACCGACUAAUGUUGAAAAAUUAGCGGAUGACUUGUGGCUGGGGGUGAAAGGCCAAUCAAACCGGGAGAUAGCUGGUUCUCCCCGAAAGCUAUUUAGGUAGCGCCUCGUGAAUUCAUCUCCGGGGGUAGAGCACUGUUUCGGCAAGGGGGUCAUCCCGACUUACCAACCCGAUGCAAACUGCGAAUACCGGAGAAUGUUAUCACGGGAGACACACGGCGGGUGCUAACGUCCGUCGUGAAGAGGGAAACAACCCAGACCGCCAGCUAAGGUCCCAAAGUCAUGGUUAAGUGGGAAACGAUGUGGGAAGGCCCAGACAGCCAGGAUGUUGGCUUAGAAGCAGCCAUCAUUUAAAGAAAGCGUAAUAGCUCACUGGUCGAGUCGGCCUGCGCGGAAGAUGUAACGGGGCUAAACCAUGCACCGAAGCUGCGGCAGCGACGCUGAUGCGUUGUUGGGUAGGGGAGCGUUCUGUAAGCCUGCGAAGGUGUGCUGUGAGGCAUGCUGGAGGUAUCAGAAGUGCGAAUGCUGACAUAAGUAACGAUAAAGCGGGUGAAAAGCCCGCUCGCCGGAAGACCAAGGGUUCCUGUCCAACGUUAAUCGGGGCAGGGUGAGUCGACCCCUAAGGCGAGGCCGAAAGGCGUAGUCGAUGGGAAACAGGUUAAUAUUCCUGUACUUGGUGUUACUGCGAAGGGGGGACGGAGAAGGCUAUGUUGGCCGGGCGACGGUUGUCCCGGUUUAAGCGUGUAGGCUGGU